rnacentral:misc_RNA from 1 species
CGCACAUUGCGCCCUUUGGUAUUCCGAAGGGCAUGCCUGUUCGAGCGUCAUUAUCACCUCUCGAGCCCCCGCGCUCGGUGUUGGACGGCCUGGUCGCGGAGACGCGACCCCUCCGAAAGACAAUGACGGCGGCCUGUGGUUCCCCCGGUACACUGAGCUUCUCACCGAGCACGUAUCGGACAAGGGCGCCCGGGACCCGGUCUUCUCCCCUCACCGGGGACAUUUUCAAAUGGUUGACCUCGGAUCAGGUAGGAAUACGCGCUGAACUUAA